GACGAACGCUGGCGGCGUGCUUAACACAUGCAAGUCGAACGGAAAGGCCCUGCUUUUGUGGGGUGCUCGAGUGGCGAACGGGUGAGUAACACGUGAGUAACCUGCCCUUGACUUUGGGAUAACUUCAGGAAACUGGGGCUAAUACCGGAUAGGAGCUCCUGCUGCAUGGUGGGGGUUGGAAAGUUUCGGCGGUUGGGGAUGGACUCGCGGCUUAUCAGCUUGUUGGUGGGGUAGGGGCUUACCAAGGCUUUGAAGGGUAGCCGGCCUGAGAGGGUGACCGGCCACAUUGGGACUGAGAUACGGCCCAGACUCCUACGGGAGGCAGCAGUGGGGAAUAUGGCACAAUGGGCGGAAGCCGGAUGCAGCAACGCCGCGUGCGUGAUGACGGCCUUCGGGUUAUAAACCGCUGUCGCCUGUGACGAAGCGUGAGUGACGGUAAUGGGUAAAGAAGCACCGGCUAACUACGUG
rnacentral:rRNA from 1 species